rnacentral:piRNA from 1 species
UNGGGUACUAGGUAUCUCAUUGUGUAUGGC